rnacentral:rRNA from 1 species
GGGGAACCCUGAUGCAGCAACGCCGCGUGAUGAAGAAGGCUUCUGUCUAAAACUCGUAGUAGGGGAAGAAAGAAUGACAGUACCCUAAAAGAAAGCCCCGGCUAACUACGUGCCAGCAGCCGCGGUAAUACGUAGGGGGCAAGCGUUAUCCGGAAUAACUGGGCGUAAAGGGUGCGCAGGUGGUUUAACAAGUUAGUGGUGAAAGGCAUAGGCUCAACCAAUGUAAGCCAUUAAAACUGUUUAACUUGAGUGCAGGAGAGGAAAGUGGAAUUCCUAGUGUAGCGGUGAAAUGCGUAGAUAUUAGGAGGAAUACCAGUGGCGAAGGCGACUUUCUGGACUGUAACUGACACUGAGGCACGAAAGCGUGGGGAGCAAACAGGAUUAGAUACCCUGGUAGUCCACGCCGUAAACGAUGAGUACUAGGUGUCGGAGGAAUCUCGGUGCCGAAGUUAACACAUUAAGUACUCGCCUGGGGAUACGCUCGCAGAGUAAACUCAAGGAUUGACGGGACCGCACAGCGCGAC